rnacentral:rRNA from 1 species
GCAAGUCGAACGGCAGCACGAAGAGCUUGCUCUUUGGUGGCGAGUGGCGGACGGGUGAGUAACACUUAGGAAUCUAUCCAGUAGCUGGGGAUAACUCGGAGAAAUCCGAGCUAAUACCGAAUACGCACUACGGUGGAAAGAGGGGGCUCUUUGGACCUCUCACUAUUGGGUGAGCCUAAGCCGGAUUAGUUAGUUGGUGGGGUAAUGGCCUACCAAGACAGCGAUCCGUAGCUGGUCUGAGAGGACGAUC